GGAUGUGAGGGCAAUCCGGCUGCAACAUCUGUCACAUGGAUCACCAGGACCGGUUCAGCUGAUCUGGUUGGCUAGGCGGGUGCCCCCUUCCUCCAAAACCUGCUCACUCAGUCAAAGAGGACGACCAUCCCUGAUAGAGGAGGACGGGUCUUUGGUCAAGAGUAUACAGGUAGCUGUGCUCCCCAUCUGGAACCUCCAAACAAGCUCUCAGCACUGGCAGGGACAGUUAUCAUGACUGUUCUAAUCACACAGCACCCCUG
ensembl:misc_RNA 7SK 7SK RNA